GCUGGAAUUGCUAGUAAUGGCAGGUCAGCAUACUGCCGUGAAUACGUUCCCGGGCCCUUGUACACACCGCCCGUCACACCAUGAGAGUUGGAAAUACCCGAAGCCUGUGAGCUAACAGUAAUGAGGCAGCAGUCGAAGGUAGAGCCAAUGAUUGGGGUGAAGUCGUAACAAGGUAGC
rnacentral:rRNA from 1 species